UACAUUUUAUGUAAUAUUUGAUCGUUAGGGAAUUUUCUUUUUUUAGAUAACAAUGUCUCGAGGCGUGUUCGUCGUAGCUGCGGUACUGGUGGCCGCUGUGGCCAGUGUACAGUGUAUGGACUGGGACCCACCAAAUCAUCCCUACCAUCACCGUCGGACAUAUGACCUAGUGAAUUCGGACCAGGAUGCACAGCCGUCUGCCAACAAUAGAA